GCUUGUUUCCACUGUCUAUUGUUGUGUCCCCCCUUUCAAUACUGAGGUUUUUACUCAAGUCCUCAUACUUGCUCACACCUAGCAUUGUAACAAUUGAGACAUGUCUCCAGCCUUGCUAUUUUUCUGGUUAUUUGGAGAUAGAUUCUUGACU